rnacentral:lncRNA from 1 species
CAGGGAUUAAGGUCUCUAAAUCUACCUAACCAUUGUUUACACAGAGAUAUCACUGCAUUUUACUCUGGGCAAGAUCUCACUUUGUUGUGCUACAAACAAUUUAACCACAUAGAAACUUAACACUGUUAACACAUCCCAGUAAAGCAGUUAAGGAUGAUUAAAUAGCAGAGGCAAAACUAGUUAUAUAGUGUAGCAGAACAAGAUAAGAAAUACAGGUACAGUCCACGGCUUGUUUCUCCCACUAGUUACUUCUUUCACUGGGUGUGCCAGUGGUCAGGAGGCAUGGAGAUCAUCUUCCUUCAUUAUAAUCCUGUAUUCAUUUUCAUUAUACCCUAGGCUAGCACCCUAAUUGAUUAUGGUUCUUUGUCUUAUGAGGUGAUCCAAUUUUUUAUUCCUGAGGAAUCUUUGCCCUUGGUGGUACUUUAUGAAUUAAAUUGCAAUAGCCUUUGAUCAAUCUUUUCCACUAAUUACAGCAGUAGAAGUGUGCUGGGCACCUGAGUUUUCCUCUUCUACUUGUCUGCUCCAUC